ACCUCUCUUCUCCCUCACAGGACCCUCUCUGUUUCUCCUUCUUCAAUAGAUCCCUCGACCACCGCCAUCACGACAGCCUCUCCCUCAUCUCCCUUUAUCACUUCAGUUCUCUCCUCCUCGCAACAAAUCUCGCUGAAACCCUCUUUGCCUCUUUGCUACCGAUGCUUGGCAAGUCACUGCAGUGGAUAGUGGAAGGAGAGUUCUACAAUUUCUAGGAUUGGAUGAUGAGGAAAAGAGCUCUGUUGGGUUUGAUCUCCUCGCAUUGUGAAACUGAAGACUGAGGUUGUUAUAGCCAAUUCAAAGGUUAUCAAAGAGACAACUUUUUUCUUGGUCAGUAAAUCUUUCUCUUGCUCUUUAUGUCAGUUGAUCUUCUACUAUGUGAUAUAUCAUAGUUUCUUGAGUGGAAGCCACAUUGAUGAACUUUGACAACUCCUUUUGGCCCUAAAUAUAAAUUGACAUUGUAACUGUGUAUUGAAAUGUGUAUAUUGAAAUUUCU